CUCCUGAAUUAUCGGGCAUCAUGAGGGAAACUUCAUGAAUGAAUGUGGUCAAAUUCAAGGAAACCUAAGUCUAGUUAAGAUAAGGUAAUCUUGAGCCAAGCACUAUUAUUCCUGGUAGUGAAGGUGCAGAGACUAGUUGUAGGUAUCAAACAGGAAAAUUUUAUUCAGAUUUCAAUGCCUACAACAUAAAGGCCACCACCUAAAGGCAAACUGUCUAAGGUGAAGAGAUAGUCCAGAGAGUGAGGAAACUCACAC
rnacentral:ncRNA from 1 species